ACACGGCAGGGCUCCCUCGCUGCUGCAGGCGCGCUUUGACGCGGGUCACCCUCCAGAAACUCCCCAGCCCUUGGCCUUAAGGUGAUGUACAUCUUCCCAUCCAGCGCUGCUCCUGCAUGGGCGUACACCUGCACCACCACACCAAUGGCAAAGCAAGAAGUUGAGGUCUGGAUUUAUGGAUUUCUCCCAGUUUUGAAGCAGGGAAUAGACAUGAAGGGAGUGAUAUUCCUCAUGAGUUACACAGAGAUCAAAAGCAGAAAGGAUUUUCUUAUGGACAGUUCUAAGAUAUUAUUACAGUGGAUUUCUGAAUGAAACACACUAGAAUUUCGGAAACUUCCAGAA